AUCCUACGGGGGGCAGCAGUGGGGAAUAUUGCACAAUGGGGGAAACCCUGAUGCAGCGACGCCGCGUGAGUGAGGAGGUAUUUCGGUAUGUAAAGCUCUAUCAGCAGGGAAGAAAAUGACGGUACCUGACUAAGAAGCCCCGGCUAACUACGUGCCAGCAGCCGCGGUUAUACGUAGGGGGCAAGCGUUAUCCGGAUUUACUGGGUGUAAUGGGAGCGUAGACGGAGGAGCAAGUCUGAUGUGAAAAUC
rnacentral:rRNA from 1 species